rnacentral:rRNA from 1 species
GCACCCUACAUUUCGACCUCGGAUCAGGUAGGGAUACCCGCUGAACUUAAGCAUAUCAAUAAGCGGAGGAAAAGAAACCAACAGGGAUUGCCUCAGUAACGGCGAGUGAAGCGGCAACAGCUCAAAUA